rnacentral:rRNA from 1 species
AUACGGAGGGUGCAAGCGUUACUCGGAAUCACUGGGCGUAAAGCGCGCGCAGGCGGUCUUUGAAGUUGGAUGUGAAAGCCUACGGCUCAACCGUAGAACUGCAUCCAAAACUAUUAGACUAGAGUGUGGGCGAGGAAGAUGGAAUUAGUUGUGUAGGGGUAAAAUCCGUAGAGAUAACUAGGAAUACCAAAAGCGAAGGCAAUCUUCUGGAACACUACUGACGCUGAGGUGCGAAAGCGUGGGGAGCAAACAGGAUUAGAUACCCGAGUAGUCC